UACGUAGGGGGCGAGCGCUGUCCGGAUUUAUUGGGCGUAAAGAGCUCGUAGGCGGUUUGGCAAGUCGGGUGUGAAAACUCCGGGCUCAACUCGGAGACGCCACUCGAUACUGCCAUGACUCGAGUCCGGUAGGGGAGUGCGGAAUUCCUGGUGUAGCGGUGAAAUGCGCAGAUAUCAGGAGGAACACCGGUGGCGAAGGCGGCUUCCUGGACCGACACUGACGCUGAGGCGCGAAAGCUAGGGGAGCAAACGGG
rnacentral:rRNA from 1 species